AUGUGUUCAGAGUUUGGGAUUCACUGUGAAAAUACAUGACAGGCACAUCUGCGACAGCAUUUCUUAAGUCCUUGACCACCAUAUCUAGUGAAAAGGGCAGUCAGCCAUCAUCAACGCAUCAGUGUUUCAUCCUGCAUUCAAAGAAUGGUGUUUUGCCAUGCAUAAAGUUGACAUCUUACAGGAAAAACAAUGGGCAAAUUGCCCAUCAUGUUUUAGAUCCCAACAUUUGUGUCAUGUUGAUGAAAACGCUAAACUUUAUAGAUACAAAAGUGCGCCAAGGUAUUGUGUUGUUGCCUGGCUAAAAUCACACUGACCAAAUGUCCAUGAUUUAUAUAAUUUGUUUAUAGAGGUGAAAGAAAAUGCGAUUAUGAAAAUACAUUCAUUGAAGAUGAUGAACUGGUAGAGGCCGGAGCACUUGAACAAUGUUUAUUCCAACAACUCAGCUAAGGGUCAUUCAAGUAAUUCCUAUGGUGGUUCCUCUCAUUAGAAAGCUGCAUUAGGAAUACGGUCAACCGUCAAUCCAAACUAGAUAAAACUGGUCUUGUUGUAGCAGGCUGUAGACAUUCUCUGGCUCAAUCUGCUGUAAAUAUGCAUCAAGGUGAACUGUAUGGAUACACACAUUAUUAAAUUGCAGAUCAACAGACUAAUUCACCAGCACUAUAUAUUAUGCAUGGUAAAGACAAUGUGAUGCUUUGGGCCGCCUUCACUCUGGCCUUUUUUCGUUUCCAGCGCUGUAGUGAAUUCACGUGUAAUUCUCCAUUUGAUCCCGAGUGCCACCUAUCCCGCAAUGACAUUAUUUUCCACCCAAAUAUCCUCCACGCGGAAUAUUAUGAUGUCUUGAUCAAGCGUUAUAUACAAAACCGACCCUUUUCGUCGUGGAUGUCGUUUAACAAUUGGCUCAUCGCUUAAUAACUCUGCCCGGUUCGAGCUAUGAAAACAUAUCUACUCCAGUCAUCCUCUGGCCAAACAACUCGUCCACUGUUCCAAUUUACAUCAGCUGUCCCACUUACACGUGUAACCCUAACAUCGCACCUACGUCAUCUACUUCAAGGGCAAGGACUAGCCGAAAAACUCUACGCCUCUCAUAGUUUCAGGAUCGGAGCUGCUAAAGCUGCGGGUUCAGCCGGCCUAACCUCUUGGCUCAUCAAAACGCUAGGACGUUGGCCUUCAGACUGUUACGAACUCCAAAGGACUUAGUCUUAGCUUCCGUUUCAUAAAAACUAACUGCAAGUACCAAACAUUGAAAAUUUUGUUUAAUAGCUACCUUUAAAACUCAAACGUUAUGCUUCCUUGCUGUAUAGUCUGUAUGAUACCAGUCCCCUGUUUGUGUGUAUGUGGAUCCUUCCUGCAAACUCAUAGCCUGCCGUACUGCCGACAGUAAGCAUUUUAAGGGAUAAGCCUUACCAUUUGCCUCAUCAAAAC